rnacentral:tRNA from 1 species
GGGCCUAUAGCUCAGUUGGUUAGUAGCGGCGCCCUCAUAAGGCGAAGGUCCAAGGUUCAAGCCCUUGUAGGCCCA